UUCUGUUUUCAAAGUCUUGUAAUUUCAGGUACUGAAGUUAUUUCUACAUGGCAGUGUACAGGUCUGGUGACUCACUGAAGAAUUGGUAGCUGAAUAUCUGCAAAGGCCACCACUCAUGCUCUCUCAACUUUCUUAAUUUUGAAAGGAAAAGAAUUUGUCUCCUGGCUAUUAAGCAUUUCAUUCUGAUGUUUCAAGCUCGAAGACUGUUGCUUGUGUGAGUGCACC
rnacentral:lncRNA from 12 species